rnacentral:rRNA from 1 species
ACGAACGCUGGCGGGCGUGCCUAACACAUGCAAGUCAGGGGAGAAAAAAGGGGUAGCAAUAUCUUGAGUAAAACCGGCGAACGGGUGAGUAAACACGUAAGCAAACCUCCCUUAUGAACGGGAAUAAACCUCCGGAAACGGAGGCUAAUACCCGAUGACAUCUUUAAGCAGCAUUGCUUGAGGAUCAAAGGCCUUCGGGCGUCAUAAGAUGGGCUUGCGUCCCAUUAGAUAGUUGGCGGGGGGGUAAAUGGCCCACCAAGUCGACGAUGGGUAGCUGGUCUGAGAGGACGAUCGGCCACACUGGAACUGAGACACGGUCCAGACUUCUACGGAAAGGCAGCAGUGAGGAAUAUUGCUCAAUGGGCGAAAGCCUGAAGCAGCGACGCCCGCGUGAGGGAUGAAAUCCGUUAGGAUGUAAACCUCUUUUGCAGGGGAUGAAUGUCCCGAUUUUUCGGGAAUUGACCGUACCCUGUGAAUAAGCACCGGCCAACUACGUGCCAGCAAGCCGCGGUAGUAAUACGUAGGGUGCAAGCGUUUGGUCCGGAAUUACUGGGUGUAAAGGGUCCGCAGGCGGGCAAGCAAGUCGGUGGGUGAAAGCUCUCUGCUCAACGGAGAGAAUUGCCAUCGAUACUGUUUGUCUUGAGUUCGAGAGAGGAUAAUGGAAUUCAUGGUUGUAGCGGUGAAAUGCGUAGAGAUCAUGAAGAACACCGGUUAGCGAAGGCGGUUAUCUGGCUCGAUACUGACGCUCAGGGACGAAAGCGUGGGUAGCAAACAGGAUUAGAUACCCCUGGUAGUCCACGCCUUUAAACGAUGGAUAUUCGGCGUCGGUCCGCAAGGAUCGGUUGCCUGAGCCAACGCGUUAAAUAUCCCACCUGGGGAGUACGAUCGCAAGGUUUGAAACUCAAAGGAAUUGACGGGGGCCCGCACAAGCAGUGGAGCAUGUGGUUCAAUUCGAUGCAACGCGAAGAACCUUACCUGGGUUUUGAAAAGCUCUGUAAACCGGUUGAAAGCCGGGGUAGCGUAGCAAUACGCGCGGGAGUACAGGUGCUGCAUGGCUGUCGUCAGCUCGUGGCCGUGAGGGUGUUAGGUUAAGUCCUGCAACGAGCGCAACCCCUGCACUUAGUUGCCAUCAGGUAUGCUGGGCACUCUAAGUGGACUGCCUACGCAAAGUAGUGAGGAAGGUGGGGAUGACGUCAAGUCCUCAUGGCCCUUACACCCAGGGCCACACACACGUGCUACAAUGGUCGGUACAAAGGGCUGCUAAGCCGCAAAGGCGGAGCCAAUCCCAAAAAAACCGAUCUCAGUUCGGAUUGGGGUCUGCAACUCGACCCCAAUGAAGCUGGAAUUGCUAGUAAUUCGCGUAUCAGCACGACGCGGUGAAUACGUUCCCGGGCCUUGUACACACCGCCCGUCAAGCCAUGGAAACUGGGGGUACCCAAAAAAACACUGUGCGAAACCGCAAGGACGCAGGUGCCUAAGGUAAAACCAGCGACUGGGGCU